UACGUAGGGUGCAAGCGUUAAUCGGAAUUACUGGGCGUAAAGCGUGCGCAGGCGGUUGUGCAAGACAGAUGUGAAAUCCCCGGGCUUAACCUGGGAAUUGCAUUUGUGACUGCACGGCUAGAGUGUGUCAGAGGGGGGUAGAAUUCCACGUGUAGCAGUGAAAUGCGUAGAUAUGUGGAGGAACACCGAUGGCGAAGGCAGCCCCCUGGGUCAAGACUGACGCUCAUGCACGAAAGCGUGGGGAGCAAACAGG
rnacentral:rRNA from 1 species